UAGCCCAUCACGGCUGUAAUCCCCUUUCAAAACCCUAAAACCCCUAAAACCCCUGAAUCGCAUUUCAAUUUUAGGGUUUUGCUCUAUAAAGCGGUCGUCACUCCUCCAUUCAGAUAAUACUUUCGUUCUUCCGAGGAUAACAUCCAUGCGGAAACAAUUAUUGGAGACCUGAACUGAAGAUCUUCUUAUUCAACACUUUCCAAAUUUCAAAUCGAUUUGUUGUUUUAUUUCCAUUUGCUAGUAAUACUAUUUUUCAACAAAUGUUUGUGAUUGAAAUUUUUUUCGACGAUUUAAACAAAAUUGGGGCGAUGUUUUUACGUCUUCGCAAAACUCAAAUGAAAUAAAUCGUCGAAGAUUGAUCCCUUGACAUUUUGAAUGGUUGAGCCUUUGCUUUGUAUGAGGUGAAGGAUCCCAUGGAUGAAUGUCUUUUGGGACUUGUCAUAUCCUAUCGCCUUGAGGAGCGGAGUCUCUGCAAUUACCUCUUGGGAUUGGCCAUGAGAAUAACAUUAU